AAAUUGUUUGAAAAAAAUUUUAAAAGGCAAUUAACACAAUGUAGAGCUCACACCUUUUUUCAACCCUUUUACUUUUCUACUAGCAAAUUCGUCAACCCAUUUCUUGGUUUUCUUGCCCUCUAUCUAUAAUUGUGUCUUUAUAAUCUGUCAUGAGGGGAGGGGAACAGUGCCUGAUUAGUUCAUGUAGCCUCAAGUGCUUUUCUAUUAACAGAUUCAUCAACCCCAUGUAAAGCCCAAGAUGGGUCCAGGUCUGCUUUUUCGGUUUCCAGUGGACUGGAAAGAUGAUCAUUCCAAGGAUCAGAAGCGGUGGGCUCUAUGCCAGUUCUUCCAAUCUCGAGCUGUGUAACUUUGGGCCCGGUAAUCUGUUACAACCCUACAGAAAGACGCUGACGUGAGACGCCACACUGCUCCACCUGAAUUCUUCGGCAGCAUCUGUGGAUGCUGUUAGAAAAGAGGCAUUUGGUUAUGCAGUUUCCCCAGAGUGAGACGGCCCAAAGCAAGCAAGGAGUGGGUUCCUUGUAAAGGUGUCCAGGACGCUUGUUUAAUCCAAGGGACAUUAAACCUCCACUGCUAGAGACUGAAGAAACAGCCAUUGCUUCUGCAGAGGCAAGCCUUGAUUUCGUGUGGAAAUAAAAAAAUAAAAAAAGGAAAACCUUCCCA
rnacentral:lncRNA from 1 species